GGGGAUAACCAAACGAAAGUUUGGCUAAUACCGCGUAAGCUCCAAGGAGGAAAGUAGGGGACCUAAAUAAGGCCUUACGCUAUUUGAUCGGCCGAUGUCGGAUUAGUUAGUUGGUGGGUAAUGGCUCACCAAGGCAAUGAUCCGUAGCGGGUCUGAGAGGACGAUCCGCCACACUGGGACUGAGACACGGCCCAG
rnacentral:rRNA from 1 species